rnacentral:rRNA from 1 species
UGCGAUACUUGGUGUGAAUUGCAGAAUCACGUGAACCAUCGACUCUUAGAAUGCAUGUUGCACCCGAAUCCAUUAGGCCAAGGGCACUUCUGCCUGGGCGUCA